AAUAUAUCCCUUUAUAUUCAUUGUUCUUCUCUUGGUAUCAGAGCAAGAAAGGCACACGCCCAAUGGCCUCCCCGCCGAAUCCAAAGGAUGGAGCCUCUGCUCAAGAAGCAAGCUCAACUGCAGAAAACCCUGCUGCUCAAAUCCCUUCACUCACCUGAAAUGAAGCCUCUGCAUCUUAGCUCCCAAAUGCUUAUCCUCAACACUUUAGCACCCUCAACCAGCCCUUUUCUCUCAAGUUGGACCGUAACAACUACACCCUGUGGAAAACCAUGGUAUCCACCAUUGUAAGAGGUCAUAGACUAGAAGGUUAUCUUACUGGUGCUAAAGUCUGUCCACAUGAAUUUUUGCUUGCAGGUCCCGAUGGAGUUGUUCAGGUUAAUCCUGACUUUGAACACUGGCUGAUCAAUGAUCAGCUUCUCAUGGGCUGGUUGUACAGCUCCAUGACAGAAGCUAUUGCAACAGAGGUGAUGGGUUUAGCCAUAGCAGCAGGGUUGUGGAAAGCUCUGGAGAAUCUCUAUGGAGCUUAUUCCCGAGCAAGAAUGGAUGAUCUGCGCACCUACAUUCAAACCACAAGGAAGGGAAACUUGUCUAUGACAGAAUAUUUGAGACAGAAAAAGAACUGGGCAGAUACUUUGGCUCUGGCUGGAGACCUUUAUCCUGAAGCUCACCUGGUGGCCAAUGUCUUAUCAGGUCUUGAUGCUGAAUAUAUUUCAAUCGUUGUCCAGAUUGAAGCCCGAUCUAAAACCACCUAGCAGGAGCUGCAAGACAUUUUGUUGAGUUUUGAUAGCAAGAUUGAAAGAUUGCAGACAUUAACCAGCACCAACAGGAUGCUGAACACACCUUCUGCAACAACUCCUCAAGAAAACAUGGCUGCUAAAAACACGAAUCCUGGGCGAGGACGCAGUACUUACACCAACACUGGAAGUGGCAAUCGUUUUACUGGCAUCAGAGGAGGCCCAAAUGGAGGUAGAUCUCGUGGGAGGGGUCGUACUGGUGGUGGCUCGAGACCUACUUGCCAAAUCUGUGGCAAGUAUGGUCACUCAGCUGCUGUUUGUUACAGCAGGUAUGAGGAAAGUCACAUGGGAGGAGAUUCUGGUGGAACUCAGCAACAACAGUUCAAAACCAACCCCAAUGCCUUCAUAGCUGGACCUGAAGUGGUUGAUAGUGAUCUCUGGUUUGCUGACAGUGGGGCAAGUAAUCACACCACUGCUGAUGCCUCAGUCAUGAAUCAAAAACAGGAGAAUGGUGGACAAGGCAACAAGGAAGGCUUUGCUCCAAGGGGUGCUUAAGGAAGGACUAUACCAGAUCUCAUCUCCAUCAAAACCAGGAACCUCUCACCCAAGUCACUUAACCGAAAAUAAACACACUCCCUUCUCUGGUGUUGCAGCAGUUUCUAGUGUCAAUGUAACUCAGCCUAAAACUGAAAAGUCUUUAAAUUCCAAAAUAGAGGUGUGACAUAGGAGAUUAGGCCACCCCUCAUCUAAAGUUCUAAGUCAUGUUCUUGAGUCAACUAAUGUAAGAGUCUCUCAAAAUGAAAUGAAAUCGUUUUGUGA